rnacentral:rRNA from 1 species
CCUACGGGAGGCAGCAGUAGGGAAUAUUGCUCAAUGGGGGAAACCCUGAAGCAGCAACGCCGCGUGGAGGAUGAAGGUUUUCGGAUUGUAAACUCCUUUUGUUAGAGAAGAUAAUGACUGUAUCUAACGAAUAAGCACCGGCUAACUCCGUUCCAGCAGCCGCGGUAAUACGGAGGGUGCAAGCGUUACUCGGAAUCACUGGGCGUAAAGGGCGCGUAGGCGGGAUAGCAAGUCAGAUGUGAAAUCCUAUGGCUUAACCAUAGAACUGCAUUUGAAACUGUUAUUCUAGAGUAUGGGAGAGGUAGGUGGAAUUCUUGGUGUAGGGGUAAAAUCCGUAGAGAUCAAGAGGAAUACUCAUUGCGAAGGCGACCUGCUAGAACAUAACUGACGCUGAUGCGCGAAAGCGUGGGGAGCAAACAGGAUUAGAUACCCCAGUAGUC